CUAGAUGGAAUUACUAUUUUAGUAAAAAAUUAUAAGUUGGUGAAAAUAUACAGCUAAUACACAACAGAAUCAAGUAUUUAUUGGAGAUAUUUGGAGAAUAUCAAAUAUUAUAUUUUGCUCAUUUGGAAUUGCUUUUUAUGAAAUAAUCUUUAUCAGUAACUGUCAAACCAAUUCAUUGAAAUGCCGAGCGGUAGUAUGCCAAGGACUUAUGCGUCUCUAUUUAUUUUAAAACGAAGAAUAUAAAAGUAGGAAGAAGAGUCCUAAUCAGACAGCUCUCCACCAAAUACCAAAUCACAUAGAAGUCAAUAUCUAUAGUUCUUUGUUUUGCCUUCAACAAUUAUCAAACCCAAUACCAAAUAGUACGUUAUAAAAAUCUCCGGAAAAAAUAAUGUAAAACCAUUCAAACCAGCAAACUUACAACCAAUUGUAUGUACAAAACAAUAAGCGAAUACCAAAAUAUGAUAUGCAACAACUCGUGACAUCCACUGAAAUGCUGGUUGCUCACUUUGGAGACGCACGUAUGGAAUUCAAAGGGGUUAACACGUUUGCUGGUACCAAAAAGUAAAAACACAAACCAAAACGUCCCUUAACAUUAAAUACUGGUGUAACAUAUCAGUGCAAAAAACUUCUACAUUAAAUAAUAAGAUAGGUAUAACAUAAAGUCAAACUGCUCUUUUGCUUUUCAUACAGCAACACAUAGUUGUUUUGGAAAAUAUAUGAUUUAAAACAUUAAUAAAAAUUCUAUGUUCAAGAAAUUUUAGAUAUAUCAUACAUCUUAUUUGUAACACAAUACACGUUUUCACGUACACCAAAUACACUCCGUUUGUGCAAGCACCAAAACAUUAGGAAGGCAAAUACUGCAAUAGCAAUGUACUACAUGUAUUCUUGGUGAACACGUCUUGGUGUUUUGAAAUACGCUAAAAAAAACUAAUUCUUUCAAAUUGAUGAUGUAUCAUGCAUAUCUAAAAUUCACACUAUUUAUGUCUAUUCUAUACCAAUUUGCAAAUAAUAUAUAUAAUUUUGCUGUUUUAUAUAAACAUGCAUUUUCAGCAAUUCACAAUAUAAAAACAAGGCAAUAAAAAUAGCUUAUAGCUAAUGUUCAGAGUGAGCUCAACGAAAACAAAAUAAAGCAUGAACGCUAUAUACAGUUUCUGCAUACAUGCCUUAUUUAUAAGCAGCGG
rnacentral:lncRNA from 1 species